rnacentral:rRNA from 1 species
UGGAGGAAAGCAGGGGAUCGUAAGACCUUGCGCUUUUGGAGUGGCCGAUGCCUGAUUAGCUAGUUGGUGGGGUAAUGGCCUACCAAGGCGACGAUCAGUAGUUGGUCUGAGAGGACGACCAGCCACACUGGGACUGAGACACGGCCCAGACUCCUACGGGAGGCAGCAGUGGGGAAUUUUGGACAAUGGGCGAAAGCCUGAUCCAGCAAUGCCGCGUGAGUGAAGAAGGCCUUCGGGUUGUAAAGCUCUUUCAGUCGAGAAGAAAAGGUUGUGACUAAUAAUCACAACUCAUGACGGUAUCGACAGAAGAAGCACCGGCUAACUACGUGCCAGCAGCCGCGGUAAUACGUAGGGUGCGAGCGUUAGUCGGAAUUACUGGGCGUAAAGGGUGCGCAGGCGGCUUUGUAAGUCAGAUGUGA